rnacentral:lncRNA from 1 species
CAAGUGUGAGUUUAGCAGUGGGUGUGGUUUCCAUCUAAAUGAUUCUUCCAUAUACGGCUGAUAGUCAUACUGAACAUGUUUUGAUGUAAUAUUUCUUUACUUUCAGCAUUUAGCUUCGAGCAUGUGAUACGUGACUGGAUGGAAUUCCUGGAGAACUGUAUUAACAUGUUCCAAAGAGCUGAAUCCUGAGUAAGAAAUCGGGAGAGAAAAAGCAAAGGUAUUAACAUGUUCCAAAGAGCUGAAUCCUGAGAAACCAUGGGGAAGAAAGCAGACAGGAGUACUCAUGAGGACAUUGAUGCAGAAACCCAGGUGUAAAGUCAAAUAUGCUGAAUGGCUCUCCAUCAACAAAUUAAAGAGGCAAAUAUAAAAUCCAGAUUUUUCAGAUUCUGAAAGCACAAGAAAGUUACCUGGGUAAGUGACUCACACUCAAUGCACUUAUGCUAUGGCUCUGUUC